rnacentral:rRNA from 1 species
GCUACAGGCUUAACACAUGCAAGUCGAGGGGCAGCAUUUUAGUUUGCUUGCAAACUAAAGAUGGCGACCGGCGCACGGGUGAGUAACACGUAUCCAACCUGCCGAUAACUCGGGGAUAGCCUUUCGAAAGAAAGAUUAAUAUCCGAUAGUAUAUUAAAACCGCAUGGUUUUACUAUUAAAGAAUUUCGGUUAUCGAUGGGGAUGCGUUCCAUUAGUUUGUUGGCGGGGUAACGGCCCACCAAGACUACGAUGGAUAGGGGUUCUGAGAGGAAGGUCCCCCACAUUGGAACUGAGACACGGUCCAAACUCCUACGGGAGGCAGCAGUGAGGAAUAUUGGUCAAUGGACGAGAGUCUGAACCAGCCAAGUAGCGUGAAGGAUGACUGCCCUAUGGGUUGUAAACUUCUUUUAUAUGGGAAUAAAGUAUUCCACGUGUGGGAUUUUGUAUGUACCAUAUGAAUAAGGAUCGGCUAACUCCGUGCCAGCAGCCGCGGUAAUACGGAGGAUCCGAGCGUUAUCCGGAUUUAUUGGGUUUAAAGGGAGCGUAGGUGGAUUGUUAAGUCAGUUGUGAAAGUUUGCGGCUCAACCGUAAAAUUGCAGUUGAAACUGGCAGUCUUGAGUACAGUAGAGGUGGGCGGAAUUCGUGGUGUAGCGGUGAAAUGCUUAGAUAUCACGAAGAACUCCGAUUGCGAAGGCAGCUCACUAGACUGCAACUGACACUGAUGCUCGAAAGUGUGGGUAUCAAACAGGAUUAGAUACCCUGGUAGUCCACACAGUAAACGAUGAAUACUCGCUGUUUGCGAUAUACAGUAAGCGGCCAAGCGAAAGCAUUAAGUAUUCCACCUGGGGAGUACGCCGGCAACGGUGAAACUCAAAGGAAUUGACGGGGGCCCGCACAAGCGGAGGAACAUGUGGUUUAAUUCGAUGAUACGCGAGGAACCUUACCCGGGCUUAAAUUGCAUUUGAAUAAUCUGGAAACAGGUUAGCCGCAAGGCAAAUGUGAAGGUGCUGCAUGGUUGUCGUCAGCUCGUGCCGUGAGGUGUCGGCUUAAGUGCCAUAACGAGCGCAACCCUUAUCUUUAGUUACUAACAGGUCAUGCUGAGGACUCUAGAGAGACUGCCGUCGUAAGAUGUGAGGAAGGUGGGGAUGACGUCAAAUCAGCACGGCCCUUACGUCCGGGGCUACACACGUGUUACAAUGGGGGGUACAGAAGGCAGCUACCUGGCGACAGGAUGCUAAUCCCAAAAACCUCUCUCAGUUCGGAUCGAAGUCUGCAACCCGACUUCGUGAAGCUGGAUUCGCUAGUAAUCGCGCAUCAGCCAUGGCGCGGUGAAUACGUUCCCGGGCCUUGUACACACCGCCCGUCAAGCCAUGAAAGCCGGGGGUACCUGAAGUACGUAACCGCAAGGAGCGUCCUAGGGUAAAACUGGUAAUUGGGGCUAAGUCGUA